GAUGAACGCUGGCGGCGUGCCUAAUACAUGCAAGUCGAGCGAACGGACGAGAAGCUUGCUUCUCUGAUGUUAGCGGCGGACGGGUGGGUAACACGUGGAUAACCUACCUAUAAGACUGGGAUAACUUCGGGAAACCGGAGCUAAUACCGGAUAAUAUUUUGAACCGCAUGGUUCAAAAGUGAAAGACGGUCUUGCUGUCACUUAUAGAUGGAUCCGCGCUGCAUUAGCUAGUUGGUAAGGUAACGGCUUACCAAGGCAACGAUGCAUAGCCGACCUGAGAGGGUGAUCGGCCACACUGGAACUGAGACACGGUCCAGACUCCUACGGGAGGCAGCAGUAGGGAAUCUUCCGCAAUGGGCGAAAGCCUGACGGAGCAACGCCGCGUGAGUGAUGAAGGUCUUCGGAUCGUAAAACUCUGUUAUUAGGGAAGAACAUAUGUGUAAGUAACUGUGCACAUCUUGACGUUACCUAAUCAGAAAGCCACGGCUAACUACGUG
rnacentral:rRNA from 1 species